rnacentral:rRNA from 1 species
ACGAACGCUGGCGGCGUGCUUAACACAUGCAAGUCGAACGGUGAAGCGCCUUCCUUUUUGGUGGGUGUGGAUGAGUGGCGAACGGGUGAGUAACACGUGAGUAACCUGCCCCCUUCUUCUGGAUAACCGCAUGAAAGUGUGGCUAAUACGGGAUAUUCUGGGUCUGUCGCAUGAUGGGUCUGGGAAAGAUAUUGUUUCGGUGGGGGAUGGGCUCGCGGCCUAUCAGCUUGUUGGUGGGGUGAUGGCCUACCAAGGCGGUGACGGGUAGCCGGCCUGAGAGGGUGGACGGUCACACUGGGACUGAGACACGGCCCAGACUCCUACGGGAGGCAGCGGUGGGGAAUAUUGCACAAUGGGCGCAAGCCUGAUGCAGCGACGCCGCGUGAGGGAUGGAGGCCUUCGGGUUGUGAACCUCUUUCGCCAGUGAAGCAGGCCUGCCUCGUUUGUGGGUGGGUUGACGGUAGCUGGAGAAGAAGCGCCGGCUAACUACGUG